rnacentral:rRNA from 1 species
GACGAACGCUGGCGGCGUGCCUAAUACAUGCAAGUUGAGCGAUGAAGAUUGGUGCUUGCACCAAUUUGAAGAGCAGCGAACGGGUGAGUAACGCGUAGGGAAUCUGCCUUUGAGCGGGGGACAACAUUUGGAAACGAAUGCUAAUACCGCAUAAUAACUUUAAACAUAAGUUUUAAGUUUGAAAGAUGCAAUUGCAUCACUCAAAGAUGAUCCCGCGUUGUAUUAGCUAGUUGGUGAGGUAAAGGCUCACCAAGGCGAUGAUACAUAGCCGACCUGAGAGGGUGAUCGGCCACAUUGGGACUGAGACACGGCCCAAACUCCUACGGGAGGCAGCAGUAGGGAAUCUUCGGCAAUGGACGAAAGUCUGACCGAGCAACGCCGCGUGAGUGAAGAAGGUUUUCGGAUCGUAAAACUCUGUUGGUAGAGAAGAACGUUGGUGAGAGUGGAAAGCUCAUCAAGUGACGGUAACUACCCAGAAAGGGACGGCUAACUACGUG